rnacentral:misc_RNA from 1 species
UUGUAGAUUGCCAACAUGAUAACAAGUUACAUUGAAAUCAUAUCAUGAAGAUCAAGCAGAUGGUCACCUGGUAAAAUAAUUUUAUCAAGCAUUGCCACCCUGUCAAAUAAUUUUAAGCUGUACAUGGUUAAUCCCGAUAGAUUUUGGAAUUCUAGACUUUCUUUACUGUUCAGCGGAGAAAGCAGCAGUUGCAAACAAUAUUACAUCGACUUGAAUUGAGAAAAAUUAAAUCCAUGAUAAGGAGGGUAAGUCUACCAUUGUGGCCAUGAUAGAAAUAAGAAUUAUGUGUUACCUCAAAAUUGUGACACAAAACCAUCGUCCCUAUCAGCAGCAGUGUCAUUCAAGCAUAUAAUUUGGUUCUGUCCUCUUAAAUACAAGAGAACAGGAUAUCCAUCAAUAACCCCAAUACAAGGAGAGGGACACUAGACUCUGAAAACAAUGUUCUAAAGGCAAUCGCUUAAAAGAAAUUCAAUUCAGCCAAAGCCUAAGAUGAAUAUAAAGCACUUAUAACAAUAACAAGUCAUACCUACCUCAACCCUUUUCUCCUCUAUUAAUAUUGAUGAAAGGGAGGUAUAGUCUCAACAAAGCU